rnacentral:rRNA from 1 species
GAUGAACGCUGGCGGCGUGCCUAAUACAUGCAAGUCGAGCGAACAGACGAGGAGCUUGCUCCUCUGACGUUAGCGGCGGACGGGUGAGUAACACGUGGAUAACCUACCUAUAAGACUGGGAUAACUUCGGGAAACCGGAGCUAAUACCGGAUAAUAUAUUGAACCGCAUGGUUCAAUAGUGAAAGACGGUUUUGCUGUCACUUAUAGAUGGAUCCGCGCCGCAUUAGCUAGUUGGUAAGGUAACGGCUUACCAAGGCGACGAUGCGUAGCCGACCUGAGAGGGUGAUCGGCCACACUGGAACUGAGACACGGUCCAGACUCCUACGGGAGGCAGCAGGAGGGAAUCUUCCGCAAUGGGCGAAAGCUUGACGGAGCAACGCGGCGUGAGUGAUGAAGGUCUUCGGAUCGUAAAACUCUGUUAUUAGGGAAGAACAAAUGUGUAAGUAACUAUGCACGUCUGGACGGUACCUAAGCAGAAAGCCACGGCUAACUACGU